rnacentral:misc_RNA from 1 species
AAGACUAUAGACCUGCGGAGUACCUGCGGAGGGAUCAUUAUCAAUGUUGGGGGUGGAUUUGGUAAAACAGUCCCCUUCAAUCUCUUUUUUUUUCCCUCGGCUUUGGCUGAAGGAAAAAAAAUCCACUGUGAUCUGUCUCGUCCCGAGGAAACUUGGGGCUAACCUUGAUAAAGGCAGCAAUGCUUUUUCAAGGUAUGGGCUCUCCAGCCCAAUCAAUAUACAUUUUUUUAAUUCUUUUAU